rnacentral:rRNA from 1 species
UACAGAGGGGGCAGGCGUUGUUCGGAAUUACUGGGCGUAAAGGGCGCGUAGGCGGCCUGCUAAGUCGAACGUGAAAUCCCCGAGCUCAACUCGGGAACUGCGUCCGAUACUGGCAGGCUUGAAUCCGGGAGAGGGAAGCGGAAUUUCCGGUGUAGCGGUGAAAUGCGUAGAUAUCGGAAGGAACAUCAGUGGCGAAAGCGGCUUCCUGGACCAGCACCGACGUUCAGGCACGAAAGCGUGGGGAGCAAACAGG